rnacentral:rRNA from 1 species
AGUGAACGCUGGCGGUAGGCCUAACACAUGCAAGUCGAACGGCAGCACAGUAAGAGCUUGCUCUUACGGGUGGCGAGUGGCGGACGGGUGAGGAAUACAUCGGAAUCUACUUUUUCGUGGGGGAUAACGUAGGGAAACUUACGCUAAUACCGCAUACGACCUACGGGUGAAAGCAGGGGAUCUUCGGACCUUGCGCGAUUGAAUGAGCCGAUGUCGGAUUAGCUAGUUGGCGGGGUAAAGGCCCACCAAGGCGACGAUCCGUAGCUGGUCUGAGAGGAUGAUCAGCCACACUGGAACUGAGACACGGUCCAGACUCCUACGGGAGGCAGCAGUGGGGAAUAUUGGACAAUGGGCGCAAGCCUGAUCCAGCCAUACCGCGUGGGUGAAGAAGGCCUUCGGGUUAUAAAGCCCUUUUGUUGGGAAAGAAAAGCAGCAGGUUAAUACCCCGCUGUUCUGACGGUACCCAAAGAAUAAGCGCCGGCUAACUUCGUG